AGCGAACGCUGGCGGUAGGCCUAACACAUGCAAGUCGAACGGCAGCACAGUAAGAGCUUGCUCUUACGGGUGGCGAGUGGCGGACGGGUGAGGACUACAUCGGAAUCUACUUUUUCGUGGGGGAUAACGUCGGGAAACUUACGCUAAUACCGCAUACGCCCUACGGGUGAAAGCAGGGGAUCUUCGGACCUUGCGCGAUUGAACGAGCCGAUGUCGGAUUAGCUCGUUGGCGGGGUAAAGGCCCACCAAGGCGACGAUCCGUAGCUGGUCUGAGAGGAUGGUCAGCCACACUGGAACUGAGACACGGUCCAGACGCCUACGGGAGGCAGCAGUGGGGAAUAUUGGACAAUGGGCGCAAGCCUGAUCCAGCCAUACCGCGGGGGUGAAGAAGGCGUUCGGGUUGUAAAGCCCUUCUGUUGGGAAAGAAAAGCAGCAGGUUAAUACCCCGCUGUUCUGACGGUACCCAAAGAAUAAGCACCGGCUAACUUCGUG
rnacentral:rRNA from 1 species